rnacentral:rRNA from 1 species
AACGUAGGAGACGAACGUUAUCCGGAGUUACUGGGCGUAAAGGGCGUGUAGGCGGUUUGUUAAGUCUGGCGUGAAAGCUCUCGGCUAAACCGGGAGAGGUCGUUGGAUACUGGUUGACUAGAGGACGGUAGAGGCGUGUGGAAUUCCGGGUGUAGUGGUGAAAUGCGUAGAGAUCCGGAGGAACACCAGUGGCGAAGGCGACACGCUGGGCCGUACCUGACGCUGAUACGCGACAGCAUGGGGAGCGAACGGG